rnacentral:rRNA from 1 species
AUUGAACGCUGGCGGCAGGCCUAACACAUGCAAGUCGAGCGAGCGGCGGACGGGUGAGUAAUGUAUGGGGAUCUGCCCGAUAGAGGGGGAUAACUACUGGAAAAGGUGGCUAAUACCGCAUACUAUCGGAUGAACCCAUAGGGGAUUAGCUAGUUGGGGGGGUAACGGCGCACCAAGGCGACGAGCCCUAGCUGGGCUGAGAGGAUGACCAGCAACACUGGAACUGAGACACGGUCCAGACUCCUACGGGAGGCAGCAGUGGGGAAUAUUGCACAAUGGGCGCAAGCCUGAGGCAGCCAUGCCGCGUGUAUGAAGAAGGCCUUAGGGUUGUAAAGUACUGUCAGCGGGGAGGCGUUACCCGCAGAAGAAGCACCGGCUAACUCCGUGCCAGCAGCCGCGGUAAUAC